rnacentral:rRNA from 1 species
UUUUUAUGAUAGUGGCGCAGGGUGCGUAACGCGGAUGCAACCUACCUUCAUUGGGGGAUAACUCUGGGAAACGGGAAUUAAUACCGCAAAAUAUAGCAAUGCUUCAUGGCMUAGCUAUUAAUGAUUUAUCGAUUGAAGAUGGGCAUGCGUGACAUUACUUAGUUGGUGAGGUAACGGCUCACCAACACUUCCAUGGCUAGGGGUUCUGAGAGGAUGAUCCCCCACACUGGUACUGAGAUACGGCCCGCACUCCGACGGGAGGCAGCACGAGGGAAUGUUGCGCGAUGGACGCAGGUCUGAACCAUCCAUGCCGCGUGCAGGACGAACGCCCUCUGGGUUGUAAACUGCUUUUGUAUCGGAAAAAACCCUCCCACGUGCCGCAGUUUGACGGUACUAUCAAAAUAAGGAUCGACUAACUGCGUGCCAGCGGCCGCGGUAAUACCUAUGAUCCAAGAGUUGACCGGAUUUGUUGCG